ACCAUGCAUACCCCAUAAAAUUCAUCAAUGCCGUGGCCUUCCCUUUGUUUUACUUCCACCAGAUUUUUUAGUGGAUGAUGUAAUGCUUAACUCACCAUGACAUUUGAGUGGAUGAUGCAAUGCUUAACUCACCAUGACAUGUGAGUGGAUGACUCAAAACCUACCCUCACCAACAAUUCUCCACCUUGCCAUACCUUACCUACUUCAUUCCACCAGAUUUUUGCAUUAAACAUGUCCAUCCUCUUCCUAUAAAUACCAUGGCAG
rnacentral:lncRNA from 1 species